CGGAGGAUCAUUAAUGAAUUUGAAAGGGGUUGUCGCUGGCCUUCACGGAGGCAUGUGCACGCCCUGCUCAAUCCAUCUCACACCUGUGCACCCGUGGUAGGUUGGUUUGGGUUUGUGCCUCUCCGGAGGUGCGCCUGGCCUUCCCGCCUUUUUACACACCCUUGUAAAGUUUAGAAUGUCAUCGCGCUUUAAACGCAUAUUAUACAACUUUCAGCAACGGAUCUCUUGGCUCUCGCAUCGAUGAAGAACGCAGCGAAAUGCGAUAAGUAAUGUGAAUUGCAGAAUUCAGUGAAUCAUCGAAUCUUUGAACGCACCUUGCGCUCCUUGGUAUUCCGAGGAGCAUGCCUGUUUGAGUGUCAUGGAAUUCUCAACCACGCAAGCUUUUUUGCUGGCGUGGCUUGGACUUGGAGGUCUUUGCGGGCUCUAGUGGCCGGCUCCUCUUGAAUGCAUUAGCUCGAACCUCUGCGGAUCGGCCUACGGUGUGAUAAUUGUCUACGCCGUCGGUCGUGAGCGAUGGGUUUGCUUCCAGCCGUCCCUCGUGGGACACUUUUUGACCUCUGACCUCAAAUCAGGUAGGACUACCCGCUGAACUUAAGCAUAUCAAU
rnacentral:rRNA from 1 species